GCCCGCAGGCCUAACACAUGCAAGUCGAGCGGAACGAGUAUCUGAACCUUCGGGGGACGAUAACGGCGUCGAGCGGCGGACGGGUGAGUAAUGCCUAGGAAAUUGCCCUGAUGUGGGGGAUAACCAUUGGAAACGAUGGCUAAUACCGCAUAAUGCCUACGGGCCAAAGAGGGGGACCUUCGGGCCUCUCGCGUCAGGAUAUGCCUAGGUGGGAUUAGCUAGUUGGUGAGGUAAUGGCUCACCAAGGCGACGAUCCCUAGCUGGUCUGAGAGGAUGAUCAGCCACACUGGAACUGAGACACGGUCCAGACUCCUACGGGAGGCAGCAGUGGGGAAUAUUGCACAAUGGGCGCAAGCCUGAUGCAGCCAUGCCGCGUGUGUGAAGAAGGCCUUCGGGUUGUAAAGCACUUUCAGUCGUGAGGAAGGUAGUGUAGUUAAUAGCUGCAUUAUUUGACGUUAGCGACAGAAGAAGCACCGGCUAACUCCGUGCCAGCAGCCGCGGUAAUACGGAGGGUGCGAGCGUUAAUCGGAAUUACUGGGCGUAAAGCGCAUGCAGGUGGUUUGUUAAGUCAGAUGUGAAAGCCCGGGGCUCAACCUCGGAAUAGCAUUUGAAACUGGCAGACUAGAGUACUGUAGAGGGGGGUAGAAUUUCAGGUGUAGCGGUGAAAUGCGUAGAGAUCUGAAGGAAUACCGGUGGCGAAGGCGGGCCCCCUGGACAGAUACUGACACUCAGAUGCGAAAGCGUGGGGGAGCAAACAGGAAUAGAUACCCUGGUAGUCCACGCCGUAAACGAUGUCUACUUGGAGGUUGUGGCCUUGAAGCCGUGGCUUUCGGAGCUAACGCGUUAAGUAGACCGCCUGGGGGAGUACGGGUCGCAAGAUUAAAACUCAAAUGAUUGGGGGGCGGGG
rnacentral:rRNA from 1 species